rnacentral:rRNA from 1 species
GAUUCGCUAGUAAUCGCGCAUCAGCCAUGGCGCGGUGAAUACGUUCCCGGGCCUUGUACACACCGCCCGUCAAGCCAUGGGAGCCGGGGGCGCCUGAAGUCUGUGACCCAACCGUAAGGAGGGAGCAGCCGAAGGCAGGUCGGAUGACUGGGGUGAAGUCGUAACAAGGUAGC